rnacentral:rRNA from 1 species
UACGUAGGUGGCAAGCGUUGUCCGGAUUUAUUGGGUUUAAAGGGUGCGUAGGUGGUCAAUUAAGUCAGUGACUGAAAUCAUCCCGGCUUUAACCGGGGAGGGUGGCAUUGAUACUGAUUGACUUGAGUAGAGUUGAGGUAGGCGGGAAUUGACGGUGUAGCGGUGAAAUGCUUAGAUAUCGUCAAGAACACCGAUAGCGAAGGCAGCUUACUAAGCUCAAACUGACACUGAUGCACGAAAGUGUGGGGAUCAAACAGGG